rnacentral:rRNA from 1 species
AAGUCGUAACAAGGUUUCCGUAGGUGAACCUGCGGAAGGAUCAUUAUCGUACAAUAGAGGUGCUGGGGUUGUCGCUGACUUUUGAAAGGGUCGUGCACGCCUCAGUGCUCUCGCACAUGUAAUCCAUUUCACCCCUUUUGUGCACUACCGCAUGGGGACCCCUUUUAGCUAGGGGUCUUCAUGUUUUUACAAAUUUUAACGCAAUGUGUAGAAUGUCAUACUUUUUGCGAUCACACGCAAUCAAUACAACUUUCAACAACGGAUCUCUUGGCUCUCGCAUCGAUGAAGAACGCAGCGAAAUGCGAUACGUAAUGUGAAUUGCAGGAUUCAGUGAAUCAUCGAAUCUUUGAACGCACCUUGCGCCCUUUGGCAUUCCGAGGGGCACACCCGUUUGAGUGUCGUGACAUCUUCAAACCUUCUUGGUUUCUUGACCAGGAAGGCUUUGGACUUUGGAGGCUUUUGCUGGCGUUCCUUUGUUGGAGCCAGCUCCUCUGAAAUGGAUUAGUGGGGUCUGCUUUGCCUAUCCUCGACGUGAUAAGAUGUUUUCUACGUCUUGGGUUUUGCACUGUUUCCUGCUUCUAACCGUCUCACAGAAGACAAUGGUCAAGUGAUUGCCACUUGACCGCACGAACCUUGACCUCAAAUCGGGUGAGACUACCCGCUGAACUUAA